GUCCGACACGCCCACUUGAGUCAUGUGGAGCUUCGGUCUAACUCCUGAUGUAAAACAAUACAGCUGAAUUAUGGAAAGCAGGCAGCAGUCUUCUCAGAUGGCGUCAACUCCUUUCUACCACGUGUGUGAGUGCAAGCCGGGCACAGGUAUGCUAUGGAGGGGCAGAGCCCAUGUGCUUUCUGCAGUCAGAACCAGG
rnacentral:lncRNA from 1 species